rnacentral:tRNA from 1 species
GGCGGCAUAGCUCACCGCUAGAGCGUUCGGUUCAUACCCGAAAGGUCACAGGUUCGACUCCUGUUGCCGCUACCA